rnacentral:misc_RNA from 1 species
GAAAUGCGAUAAGUAGUGUGAAUUGCAGAAUUCAGUGAAUCAUCGAAUCUUUGAACGCACAUUGCGCCCCUUGGUAUUCCAUGGGGCAUGCCUGUUCGAGCGUCAUCUACACCCUCAAGCUCUGCUUGGUGUUGGGCGUCUGUCCCGCCCCCGCGCGUGGACUCGCCCCAAAUCCAUUGGCAGCGUUCCUUGCCCCCUCUCGCGCAGCACUUUGCGCUUCUCGAGGGCGGCUCCGGGACGCGAUCCAGCAAGAUGACCACCGUCUUUGACCUCGGAUCAGGUAGGGAUACCCGCUGAACUUAAGC